rnacentral:sRNA from 1 species
GUGCGCCUGUGUAUGUGUAUGAUAUAGUUUUUAGUAUAUGUACUUGUUAGUUUGUAUGCACACAUGCAUGAGGAUGCUGGUGCACAUAUGUUGCACAUGCAUGUGGAGCUCCACUUUGCCCGUCCGUUCUCCACAGUUCUCCAGUGUUAAUAUUUGAGACAGCGUCUCUGGUUGAACCUGUAGGCCAAUGACUGGGCUAGUCCAGCUGACUGACUAAAGAGCUUCAAGAACCCAAGUGUCUCUGCUACUCUCUCUCCCUGCGCUGGGGUUACAGGCAGGAACCCCUCCCUGUGCUGAGCCCUUCACCUGGGUUCUAGGGAUUGGAACUCAACUCCUCGUGCUUUCAGGGUAGGUACUUCGCCGGCUGAGCCAUCUCCCCAGCCGGUACAUCUGAUUUUAAGUGACCUUUAUCAGGAUCCAGCUUCUGCCUGUUCUACCAAAGCUGUCCUCAGACAGGCUACACCACUCCAAGUUCACAGCCAGCCGAAAUGAGUAUCUUUGUUCUAGGACAUCUGAGGGUGGCUCUGCUGGCUCUGGGUGCUCCCCUGCCUACUCCUGAGUUCACUGCCUUGGUGAAUGUCACCUGCUGUAGCUCAGGUUGUCGAUUCCCGAGUCAAGAGUGGAUGUAGCCCCCUGAGUGGUCUGUGACCCCCAGACGGGAAGGCAGGGCGCGCUUACCAGUUAAUGAACGCUGAACAGCUGAAAGGGGAAAUGUCCACUUUUCUGGUCAAACCCAGGGUCUAAUUCCACACACAUUAGAAGUCCUUAGAAGACCACUGUCUUCCCCGGCUGCUCUUGCUCCUGCCAUCUAGCUGUCUUGGCAAGGGUAGGAGCUUGGGAGAAGGAGGUAGGAGCCAUUGUUCCCCCAGGUGCCCUUUGUUCUUGUUGCCACAGGAUCGAGCAUCCUGACCCCUCUGUGUGCCACUGUGAUUCUGGAAAAGACACUCUUCCACUCGGAGUCACAGUUUCCUCUGCUGCAGAUACGGUUCGUGAUGUCCAUGCAACCUCUCUCAGGAGACAGGAAGUGGGUAGUGGGUGGCAGGACCAGAGACUCGUGUCUCCUCUUUUUUUUCUUUUUUUUUUUUUAAAGAGGUCCUUUAUUGAAAGGGGGGAGGAAGCCAGGAAGAGAACGCUUGGGUCUCCUCCUUAAGGCUGGGGCAGCUCUGAAGAAGCCACACAGAGUAAGGUUUUGUUUGUUUUGAACACUUUCGGUGCUGGCCCAGAACGCUUAAAGGAAAUGCUUUAAACGUGUUGGCAAUCUGUGCUCUGAGUGAGACCACGGCCUCUGAGCCCAGACAGAUCAGUCCAAGCUCUGGCCCUGCCCCAAGUGUUUGUGUGUUUAACUUCUCAAGGGUUUCCACUGAGGGGAACAAAAGCCCAGAAGUUUCCCCGAAGUCCUUUGGCUUAAUCCUCCCAAGAGUCAUUGAAGCCUCUCAAGAUUGAUCCAGAAAGUGGAGGACACUUCAAGACUCUGCUUUUCAUAUUUGUCUGUUCCUCUUCAACAAACCCACUUGAGGUUUUUGUUGUUGUUUUUUUUUUUUUUUCUUUUUAUGCCCCAGUGACAACAUAACACUGAAGUUCAAGAAUUAUGUCUAGGGUCACAGUGGCAGGAAGUGGCUGAACAGGGAGGCAUCUUUCAAGAAUCUUCUCUCCAUGCACAGAGAGAAAGAAAGAGCUAAGACUGCAACGGGCUCUCAGGCUGAGAAACCGGAAAGAACGGGUUUUGACAGCAUUCGACAGGAAGAUGGCAAGGUUUAAGCAAAGGGUGCAAACCACAGGCUGGAAGCUCCAGAUGCCUUGAUGACGUCACGCCCAUGGAGCCGGCCCUGUGCCUGACUUGAUGUUCAGCUGGAUUGAAAGUUGGAGCACAAAGGAACAGACAGUUUUAAGGGAACCAGCAGAUAAAUUUGUAUUUCUGGUUGGGUCCUGAGCCAAAUUACUUUGGGCCAAUCAUUAGCCUCCUUAACAGCCACCGAUCGCCUUCUGUAUGCGCCCUAACAGCUCUGUGGCCCUUAGCUUCCUGCUCUCUCAGAACACGAUGUUUGUAAAACAAACAAUCACAAAACAAAACGAAACAAAACGAAACAGAGAACUCUGUUCCCAAGCCAUGGCCAUCCCUACUGGCUCCAGAACUCUGAUCCCCUUCGAGAAACGGAACUUCGUGAACGCGUGUGGCGAGAGCAUUAAAUAGACACCAGCUCUCCUGUGUUCUGCACUCACUUCCCAGGGAAGCCAUACACCUAAUAAACUGCCCAGCCAGAGCUGGCUUGCACUGCUGAUAGCCUCAGCAGGCACUGACCUUGGCACCGUGACAAGGGCAACAUUUCCAAGUGGAUGAGCGCCUCCUGAACAAAGUGUCCAAUGUACCAGGAAUAAACAGGCCUUUCAUCAACCGAGCCUGCGUGUUUUCUGGUUCCAACAGCCUUCCCCACUGCCGGGGUCAGAAAGCAGGGACAUCAACCAGCAGGGCCUCUUGGACAACCUGCUAGUCUUGCUCAUUCCUCCCAGAGGAUUCUGGGACUGAAUAGACUUGCAGGCCUCUGCCAUCACCUGUCAUGGCUGCAGUACAACUAUUUUAAACUUACGUUUGACCAGCUUAGGAAUGAACAAGACUCAGACUGUGGUUAUUUUAUUUGACUUUGACAAUUAUUGGGGGGUGACCCCUAAUCUACUUUUCUAACUGCUGGCCUGGCUACCUCCCCAGCGGUGUACCCCAAAUGCUUGCCGUUUCUCCUGGCCGUGUGCUCACGGUCCAUCUCCUCUCAUGGCGGCUUCCUCUCUCCUCCUCAUUUUCUCCUCCCCUCCACGCUCAACCAGGUAACUCAAAAACCCACCUCCCUCCAACCCCUACCCCCAGAAAUUGUCCGUAGUCAUUUUUAUUUAACCAAUAGUUUUAAAUUAAGGAACAGGGUUUGCACAACAACCGCUGGUAAAUUUGAGAAUUGCCUCGUAGGCUUAGACGUACGAAUUUAGUAUCCAAUACAUAGCGGCUCACCAAACUUCAACGCGAGGUUCCAUGAUUUCCCUUCUCCAUUUCUGCAAGAGUAGAACCGGAAAAGUGCGUUCCUUUACGCCUUGGUAAGAUCUGAGCAGGGGCAUUAGCUCCCCCUGUGGUGCAAAAGGGGAGUCUUGGGGCCACAUUCGCAAAACUCUGUACAGCAGCCCCAAAUAGGACAUCACAUCGUCAAGCACUGGCAGGGCCAACUUUUGAAAGGGACAGGUCACUAAGUCAGCCCCAAGGAGAGCAUGCACAGGCUUAGAGGAUAAGCUCCUGGA